GACGGGGGGGGGCAAGUGUUCUUCGGAAUGACUGGGCGUAAAGGGCACGUAGGCGGUGAAUCGGGUUGAAAGUGAAAGUCGCCAAAAAGUGGCGGAAUGCUCUCGAAACCAAUUCACUUUGAGUGAGACAGAGGAGAGUGGAAUUUCGUGUGUAGGGGUGAAAUCCGUAGAUCUACGAAGGAACGCCAAAAGCGAAGGCAGCUCUCUGGGUCCCUACCGACGCUGGGGUGCGAAAGCGUGGGGAGCGAACAGG
rnacentral:rRNA from 1 species